rnacentral:rRNA from 1 species
AUUGAACGCUGGCGGCAUGCUUUACACAUGCAAGUCGAACGGCAACGAGGAGAAGCUUGCUUCUCUGUCGGCGAGUGGCGAACGGGUGAGUAUAGCAUCGGAACGUGCCAAGUAGUGGGGGAUAACCAAACGAAAGUUUGGCUAAUACCGCGUAAGCUCCAAGGAGGAAAGUAGGGGACCUAAAUAAGGCCUUACGCUAUUUGAUCGGCCGAUGUCGGAUUAGCUAGUUGGUGGGGUAAUGGCUCACCAAGGCAAUGAUCCGUAGCGGGUCUGAGAGGACGAUCCGCCACACUGGGACUGAGACACGGCCCAGACUCCUACGGGAGGCAGCAGUGGGGAAUUUUGGACAAUGGGGGAAACCCUGAUCCAGCCAUGCCGCGUGUAUGAAGAAGGCCUUAGGGUUGUAAUGUACUUUUGUUAGGGAAGAAAAGCUAGUUUUUAAUAAAAAUUAGUGAUGACGGUACCUAAAGAAUAAGCACCGGCUAACUACGUG